UAUUUAUUUAAUUAUUUCACUAUUUACUUUAUCAUUUCAUGGUCCCUACACCAGCAGUGCAUCAUGAAAUCAUUUCAUCUGUCACUGCUGCUCGUCAAAGUUUCUAACAUCUGAUUGGUUACUCAGCAAAGCAAGUCAUGACAGAUCGAUCCCAGAUAAUGGAUUGAAGCAGUGAAUGCACUCCGAUACGUUAGGUGACAGUGUUCAUCCGUAUAUUCGUUUCGGUACGCUCUUCAUUUGUCGCCGAAAAAAUAGUUGCUGAUGAUACAAGUGAAGACGGAUCAAUCAGCUCACCAUUGGUGCAAAGUGUUAGUGCAGGAUGUCCAAAAGCUCUCCGGAGCACAGGUACAGCAGAUACCUGUCGCUACACCACGUACACCUGUUCAAGGUAGGUAAGGAUAGCCAGAUGUGCUUCUAAACGAAGCUAGCUAGUCGGCAGAAUGGUGUUAGCAUGUCAGCAGCCCUGAAGUUGGACUUUUAUCACUUCUUUCUUUUUAGUUGUUGUUUGCUUUCUUUAUUACAUUUAUCAGGACUUAAGGAUGUUUUAGCUGAGUGGCGAUCAUGGGAGCUGUAACAUUUUCUCUGUGUUGCAGCCGAAGUAGCAAGGCUGUUUGCUCCAUACAACAACAACAACAACAACAACAACAACAACAACAACAACAACAACAACAAGGCUGAUAAAGUUCCAAGCAUUCAGCUUAAAGCAGACCUUCUUGCUUCAGGACUUGGAGAACAAAGGUGAUCUUUUCAGGAAAUGACAACGAUCCCAUGGUUGUAACAAACAAACUGAUGGAGGUGUUUCCAAAGCUGCAAGAAGGGGGAGGCUUUGAGUUUCUAAAAAUUGCAGGAUCUACUCGCAGUCGAAAUCUUGGACUUCUUCAAUGUCCCAGCACAGGAUACACCCUUACCUAUCUAAAAGAUCCAUCUCCAACAAUUGGACAGGCUACAAUUGACAUACGCCCACUUCAACAGGACCUACCCAUUGAUUCAGUAUGGAAAUUUACACUGUCACCAUUUGAUACAUAGUUCAAAUAAAUUGCACUGUGGAGUUUUAAUCAAUACUUAACAGAUUUGUUGUUCUUAGGAAAGCUCGGGACAUGCCUCUGGUCCAGAAGGAGGUUCCCUUCUCUGAAAUGAAACUGCACCGAGCUAACUGGGAUGGCUAUGCACUUGUUAAAGAUAUAUAAGAAUUACAUAUUCAUUUUUCAAUAAGAAAUGUCUUUUUAGUUUUUGUGCACACAGAUGAGAGGAAAUGACUAUAACAUUUUCUGAACUUCAAGGACCCCCAUGCAGGAAACACAUAGAGAAGGAGAGGGAGACCGUGGUGAGGAGAAUGAUAGAGAGCCACCCACUGACAGGGACAGCGUUCCAGUGAGGCCUGAAACAUCUGUAGAGAGUGAAGUAGAACCAGUAGUGAUUGAAAACUGGAAGAUUAUUAAAGAACCAACUCUGGCUGCCCAAGUUUUCAAAGAUAAUCUACUAAGUGAACAUGCAACCGGGAAGCCUCUUAAA